rnacentral:rRNA from 1 species
AACUUUCACAUCAACGGCAUCUCUUGUUUCCGGCAUCGAUGAACAAACGCAGCGAAAUGCGAUAAGUAAUGUGAAUUGCAGAAUUCCGUGAAUCAUCGAAUCUUUGAACGCACAUUGCGCCCUCUGGUAUUCCGGGGGGCAUGCCUGUCCGAGCGUCAUUGCAACCUUCAAGCACG